UGCAGUACUUUUAGCUUUUCUGGGUGUUC
rnacentral:piRNA from 1 species